rnacentral:lncRNA from 1 species
UCCUCCUAACCCUCCAUGUUGAUUUGAAAGCCACAGAUGAGCCAAGGCCGCCACAGCACCAGAGGGCUGCCAAGCGGUCUUGGGGAGCAAGCAGGGUGGGUCCCCAAGAACAGGAAGGCUCAGGAUCUCUGGAGCCACCUCGUCUUCUGGAUAUACUGGUGUAAAACAGGUUCCUACUAAAGGAGGAACAGCCCCCUGGUACCUUGGAUUCUGCACAGAUCCACAGGCUUCUCAGGGUCAAGGUCAGCACAGUGGUCCGCAGCCUCGCUGCUCCAAGCUUCGGCCUGCAGGCGUUUCUCCUAGAGGCUGUGUAAACCUGAGACUCCUUGGCCUCUUGUCUCCCCGACCUGUAAAGUAGGCAGCAGCGUGUUCUUACACAUCCCCC